CGGGACACGUGGUAUCCUGUCUGAAUAUGGGGGGACCAUCCUCCAAGGCUAAAUACUCCUGACUGACCGAUAGUGAACCAGUACCGUGAGGGAAAGGCGAAAAGAACCCCGGCGAGGGGAGUGAAAAAGAACCUGAAACCGUGUACGUACAAGCAGUGGGAGCACGCUUAGGCGUGUGACUGCGUACCUUUUGUAUAAUGGGUCAGCGACUUAUAUUCUGUAGCAAGGUUAACCGAAUAGGGGAGCCGAAGGGAAACCGAGUCUUAACUGGGCGUUAAGUUGCAGGGUAUAGACCCGAAACCCGGUGAUCUAGCCAUGGGCAGGUUGAAGGUUGGGUAACACUAACUGGAGGACCGAACCGACUAAUGUUGAAAAAUUAGCGGAUGACUUGUGGCUGGGGGUGAAAGGCCAAUCAAACCGGGAGAUAGCUGGUUCUCCCCGAAAGCUAUUUAGGUAGCGCCUCGUGAAUUCAUCUCCGGGGGUAGAGCACUGUU
rnacentral:rRNA from 1 species